GUAAAGGUGUGGACGUCAGUGGCAGUGAUACGAGGGAUGCGGUCGUUAUCGGGAUUUAGUGGUGUUAAAGGGUGAGUAUGCUGCGUUAUAAUGAAGUGGUGAAAUCCUAGCACUUAACGAUAGACGAGCCAGUGAUACUGUAGGGCUUGAGUAUAGAAGACGUUGGAGGAAUGUGUCAUGUAGCGGUGAAAUGCAUAGAUAUGACACAGAACACCGAUUGCGAAGGCAGCUGACGAAACUAUAACUGACGCUGAUGCACGAAAGCGUGGGGAUCAAACAGGAUUAGAUACCCUAGUAGUC
rnacentral:rRNA from 1 species